ACCAGACUCCUACGGGAGGCAGCAGUGGGGAAUAUUGCACAAUGGGGGAAACCCUGAUGCAGCGACGCCGCGUGAGUGAAGAAGUAUUUCGGUAUGUAAAGCUCUAUCAGCAGGGAAGAAAAUGACGGUACCUGACUAAGAAGCCCCGGCUAACUACGUGCCAGCAGCCGCGGUAAUACGUAGGGGGCAAGCGUUAUCCGGAUUUACUGGGUGUAAAGGGAGCGUAGACGGCAGUGCAAGUCCGGAGUGAAAGCCCGGGGCUCAACCCUGGGACUGCUCUGGAAACUGUAAAGCUGGAGUGCGGGAGGGGCAGGCGGAAUUCCUGGUGUAGCGGUGAAAUGCGUAGAUAUCAGGAGGAACACCGGCGGCGAAGGCGGCCUGCUGGACCGCGACUGACGUUGAGGCUCGAAAGCGUGGGGAGCGAACAGGAUUAGAUACCCGAGUAU
rnacentral:rRNA from 1 species